UUACUGAGUUUACGCUCUACAACCCUUUGUGAACAUACCUAUAACUGUUGCUUCGGCGGGCAGGGUCUCCGUGACCCUCCCGGCCUCCCGCCCCCGGGCGGGUCGGCGCCCGCCGGAGGAUAACCAAACUCUGAUUUAACGACGUUUCUUCUGAGUGGUACAAGCAAAUAAUCAAAACUUUUAACAACGGAUCUCUUGGUUCUGGCAUCGAUGAAGAACGCAGCGAAAUGCGAUAAGUAAUGUGAAUUGCAGAAUUCAGUGAAUCAUCGAAUCUUUGAACGCACAUUGCGCCCGCCAGCAUUCUGGCGGGCAUGCCUGUUCGAGCGUCAUUUCAACCCUCAAGCUCUGCUUGGUGUUGGGGCCCUACAGCUGAUGUAGGCCCUCAAAGGUAGUGGCGGACCCUCCCGGAGCCUCCUUUGCGUAGUAACUUUACGUCUCGCACUGGGAUCCGGAGGGACUCUUGCCGUAAAACCCCCCAAUUUUCCAAAGGUUGACCUCGGAUCAGGUAGGAAUACCCGCUGAACUUAAGCAUAUCAAUAAGCGGAGGAAAAGAAACCAACAGGGAUUGCCUCAGUAACGGCGAGUGAAGCGGCAACAGCUC
rnacentral:rRNA from 1 species